rnacentral:lncRNA from 1 species
CCUGUAUUACUUGAAUGCUAUCUCUGCACAAUGUUCAGUUUCAGUUCUUCCUGAGGAACUUUUUGAUGCCUUCCAGAAGGCUCUUCUUUCCCUUCACACACCUUCCAUUAAACUGUAAGAGUCAUGCCAGGCACUUGUUUCUAGGUGUAGCAGUUUAAUCUCUCCAAUUAAGCUAUAAGCUUCUUGAUUAAAACAAAAACAAAAACAGAAACAUGGCACCUUCCUUUCUUGGACAGCUAUCACUGAACACAGUGUUACACAAUAAGU